rnacentral:lncRNA from 1 species
CCGCCAAUAUAAUAAUAUAAAACAAAAGGUAACUUGGAUAGAUCUACUCAGAAGUCUCUCAUCUUGGGCACAAUGCUAAAUCUACACAAAUUAGUAAAUUCAUGAAGACGAAAUCUCCCCUUCGGCAAAUCCUAUUCUUUGCCGACUGGUUUGUUCGAGUGGUCCUCAUAGGAUAGUUUGGUCUUGUCCUCUACUUUUAAAAAGAAAGAUAGCCUUCCCUUUCCGAUUGGUGUAUUCAAUUACCAAUUGAAUGAGGAAGGUGCGGCAAGUAACCGGCCUGGGCCGCGUGGCUUGGACGUUGGAACGUGGCAUAAGGACGAUAUAGGAUAAGUCUUGCCGGUUCCCAACCCCCAACUGCGUCCCUAUUUCUUAGAAGCUUCGUUGGAUUUGUAGCCAUUUGGGAUUCAACUCCAAAUGCCUACCCUUGGAGGAACCGAAAUCCCGGCCUGGCCUUUUGCUCAAAUGAUAAGAGGUGAUACCAUCCAAGCAAGCAAGCACUUAUGAGCAUAAAUUAUAUAUUAUAAAUUAUGUAAAGCAAAUGAUAAGAGGUGAUGCCAUCUAAGUAAGUGCUUGUUAGUAUAAAUUGCAUAUUAUAAAUUAUGUAAAGCAACAUGGUAGAAAUUUUACACGGAAAGGCAAUGGUUAAUCCAAAUCAUGAGUGUAUUUAUGAGAAUUAACAAUGA